GAAAAGAGAGGGAAUUCAUUUCGAAUUACUAGUUACACUAAUCAGGCUGUUCACUUAGGAUAUCACUUUGGUUGGAAAGUCUAUUGCAUUAGAUAGAUGAGCCCCGAGAUGAAAGUUCAGUCCUACACCUGAAGGAAGACGGUUUUAUUAUAGUUGCCAGAUAAUGAUGUUACGCCCAGGAUCGGACAGUGAGGUAUGUUAAGAUAAGAUUGUGUAUAUGUUUGUAUGCCUUUUUGUCCAAAUUUCCUCUAGGUGGGGUCCAAAGGAUCACAAAGACAGGUAUGUUAAGAUAAGAUUGUGUAUAUAUUUGUAUGCCUUUUUUGUCCAAAUUUUCUCUAGGUGGCGACCAAAGGAUCGCAAGGACAGGUAUGUUAAGUUAAGAUUGUGUAUAAAGAUUGUGUAUAAUGUUUGUAUGCCUUUUUGUCCAAUUUUCCUCUAGGUGGUGUCCAAAGGAUCGCAAGAGAAGGUAUGUUAAGAUAAGAUUGUGUAUAUGUUUUAAUGCCUUUUUGUCCAAUUUUCCUCUAGGUGGUGUCCAAAGGAUCACAAGGACAGGUAUGUUAAGAUAAGAUUGUGUAUAAUGUUUGUAUGCCUUUUUGUCCAAAUUUCCUCUAGGUGGCGUCCAAAGGAUCGCAAAGAAAGGUAUGUUAAGAUAAGAUUGUGUAUAUGUUUGUAUGCCUUUUUGUCCAAAUUUCCUCUAGGUGGCGUCCCAAGGAUCAAGAAGGAAAGGUAUGUUAAGAUAAGAUUGUGUAUAUGUUUGUAUGCCUUUUUGUCCAAGUUUCCUCUAGGUGGCGUCCCAAGGAUCAAGAAGGAAAGGUAUGUUAAGAUAAGUUUGUGUAUAUGUUUGUAUGCCUUUUUGUCCAAGUUUCCUCUAGGUGGCGUCCCAAGGAUCAAGAAGGAAAGGUAUGUUAAGAUAAGAUUGUGUAUAUGUUUUAAUGCCUUUUUGUCCAAUUUUCCUCUAGGUGGUGUCCAAAGGAUUGCAAGAGAAGGUAUGUUAAGAUAAGAUUGUGUAUAUGUUUUAAUGCCUUUUUGUCCAAUUUUCCUCUAGGUGGCGUCCAAAGGAUCGCAAGAGAAGGUAUGUUAAGAUAAGAUUGUGUAUAUGUUUUAAUGCCUUUUUGUCCAAUUUUCCUCUAGGUGACGUCCAAAGGAUCGCAAGAGAAGGUAUGUUAAGAUAAGAUUGUGCAUAUGUUUUAAUGCCUUUUUGUCCAAUUUUCCUCUAGGUGGCGUCCAAAGGAUCGCAAAGACAGGUAUGUUAAGAUAAGAUUGUGUAUUAUUUGUACGCCUUUUUGUCCAAGUUUCCUCUAGGUGGCGUCCCAAGGAUCAAGAAGGAAAGGUAUGUUAAGAUAAGAUUGUGUAUAUGUUUGUAUGCCUUUUUGUCCAAGUUUCCUCUAGGUGGUGUCCCAAGGAUCAAGAAGGAAAGGUAUGUUAAGAUAAGAUUAAUUGUGUAUAUGUUUUAAUGCCUUUUUGUCCAAUUUUCCUCUAGGUGGCGUCCAAAGGAUCGCAAGAGAAGGUAUGUUAAGAUAAGAUUGUGUAUAUGUUUUAAUGCCUUUUUGUCCAAUUUUCCUCUAGGUGGUGUCCAAAGGAUCGCAAGAGAAGGUAUGUUAAGAUAAGAUUGUGUAUAUGUUUUAAUGCCUUUUUGUCCAAUUUUCCUCUAGGUGGCGUCCAAUGGAUCGCAAGAGAAGGUAUGUUAAGAUAAGAUUGUGUGCAUGUUUGUCUUAUAUCAAGAUGAUUUAAGUUUGUAUUACAGAUGGAGGAGCCCAGAUGAAAGUUCAGUACUAGACCUGAAGGAAAAUUGUUUCAUUUUAGUUGCCAGAUAAUGAUGAUGCAAAAAGAGCAAAGACACAGAAAAUUGUGCCAUUGACAAAGAUCUGGAAAGAAGCUUAAAGGAAGGACCAAGUGUCAGUCAAGAUGGCAGAUGAGUAGCAACUCGAUGGAAGAUGUUUACUUAGAUCUUCAACCAAGUCCAAGGCUUUGCCAUAUAUUAAGCAAUCAAGCAGCAAGGAUAGCAGCUGGAAUGAAGAUUAAUUAUUACAUUGAUCUUCAACCAAGUCUGAGGCUUUGUCAAGAAAGAA